CCAAGGAGUCUAACAUGUGCGCGAGUCAUGGGGCUAGACGAAACCCAAAGGCACAAUGAAAGUGAAGGCUGGCCAUUUCGGCUCGGCCCAGGUGGGAUCCCUCGGUCGAUGAUUUAAAACCGUUUGCUCCGGGGGCGCACCACCGGCCCGUCUCGUUCGCAUCGUCGAUGAGGCGGAGCAAGAGCGUACACGUUGGGACCCGAAAGAUGGUGAACUAUGCCUGAGCAGGACGAAGCCAGAGGAAACUCUGGUGGAAGUCCGCAGCGAUUCUGACGUGCAAAUCGAUCGUCAGACUUGGGUAUAGGGGCGAAAGACUAAUCGAACCAUCUA
rnacentral:rRNA from 1 species